ACAGAGGUGGAGAGGUGAGAUCAUCAGAUCCAGAAUGGGACUCAGAAUUACUGUCCUUUUUUAUUGGAUUAUUGUAGGUGCAUGAACAACACGUUCUGUGACCAUGUGAGGCGAACGGAACAUUGACAGAACGACAGAGAGAGCAGCAGAGUUCAGUGAAGAACGUCUGAGGGCUUUGACGGGGAGUCAAAUCCAGGUCACCUGAUCCUGGUUGUGAUUCUAUAUGGAAAUUACUGCCUGCUUCGCCGAGGAGAGAACACAGCAAGCAAGAGCAGGAGAAAAGAGGAGUGAGGGAGUGAGUGGGGGAGAGAGAUAAGGAGAGAGAGGAGGCAAUAGGUGCAGCUGAGAACAAACAGUGAGGACGAAGUGAUGGCUUGAUGUUCCCAUUAGUAUCAGUGGAACAUCAGUUAACCUGAUUCUCGGCCGUUAUAAAACUAUCCAAUUUCCAGCCAUAUAAUGGAAGAGAUAAUGACAUUCUGAAUAUAUGAUGAUUUAGGUCGGUAUUAUGUGAAAUGAAGGUAGUUGUAUUUAUGUUCCUAUUUGCCGUUGAGAGUUACCUAAAUGUUGUUUCAGGCUUCGAGUGAAAUGAGAGUGAACUUGUAUUUCAUUAUAGGUCGCAUUUUUAUUUAUUUAUUUUGGAAAAUUUAAACAGCUCCGAAUGGUUCAGUGGAAAAACCUGCCAAAGAACCGUCUUCAUUUUUAAUCUGAUGAUGAUGAUUAAUCAUAGGGUAGCUGGGAGUUAAUUGCAAUUAAUCAUGAUUAAUCAUGCACGUGAUGAUUAACCAUGAGUAAUCCGGAUCACUCUGCAUUUCCAAAUAUGGAAAAAAAGGAACUUAUCAAAAUAAUGGAAUUAUUAAAAAAAAAAAAAUUUAAAAGGUGCAAAAAUAUAACUCAAGAUUUAGGUUCAUAGAGUUGGUGGGCAGGGCUUUCAAAACCUCUUUAAAUCUGUUGUCAUCAACAAUAUUAAUCAGCCUACAGUUCCUCUCAAUCUAUUUGGCAUUUGUGUCAGUCAACCUGUCAGGUGACUUCAUCAUUACUUACUGCCCUGUGCUCGGUGAGGCUGCUCUGACACAAGUCACCUGAAGUUGAAGCCUCCACUAACACGCGCCGGCUGCUGAGAGGAAAUUUUAAGCUCCAGGUACUACUAGAAACAAAAACGCUUCCCCGCAGAAUGUGUAAAUAACACAUACCCAUACAACUGCCAAUGUGUUAAUUUUUUUCAAUCUAAUUAAUCUGCACAAAUUAAUUAAAGUGAUUAACUCAUUAAUUUCGACAGCCCUAGAAAUUAGUAUUUUCCAAAAAGUCUCUCGGUGAAAUAUUUAUCCAUCUAGUACACACUCAUCAUGGGAUUAAGGAGCAAUUCAUUUUCCCUUUAAACUGCCAGUUGGAAAAGCAGGAAAUGACUGCUUCUGGAUGGAUGCAUUGUUUUAUGAGCAGCCAAUCUGCCAGUCAACACAGUGCAUUACACAGCAUGAAAAUAACUAAUCAAAAUUCAAGGUCCAGGAGCACAUAUUUGGCAGCUGAAGAAAAACUUCAAAAUGUCUUUUGUGCCGAGCAGAAAAAAGGGAAUGGAUGUUCCCACUCGGGCUGAAUGUGAAAGUACUGGUUGUCUUUUUCACAGCUUACAGGUAAUUUUCAUUAUUUUUGAGUGUGACUGCGCCUGCUUUCAUUAAAAAAUAAUCAUCCCUCACUUUCAGGCAAUGAGGCAGAAGACAGACAUUGAAAACGACAUCUGUUCCACCCGAGCCUUUGAAGUGGAAAUAAAAUAAACUGAAGGUAGAGCAAAUGGAAUGACAAAACAGAAAAAAACCCAACAACAACAGGCUUAAUAAUCUCCAAGAAAACUCUCAUGUAUUCGUACAGACGAAGGAGUAAUGACAAAUAACAGCUCACGUCAACAACCAGGAGAACAAGGAGAAUAUAUCUGUGGGUUUUUCUGGUGUUUAUGAGUGAUUCGUGUUUUUGUGCAUACGUACAGAGUGAGAGGUUAAUGGAGGGAAUUAAACUGUAAAGGAAUCCCACAGGAGAGCAUAUUUACAAUAAUAAAAAAAGCUUUUUUUUUCUUCCCUUUCCAAAAUGAACCUCUUCCAUCUGGAUCAGUUUUUCUAAAAACAGCCAAAAAUAAAUAAAUAAAAUAAAAUAAAAAAUAUAGAAAAAUGCCUGUAGCGUCCUCAACUAAAGGAUGUCAUAAACUUAGGUUCAUUAUGUCGUAUCUAAUAAAAUCCUGCAAAGUGUCAUUUUUCAUCAA